rnacentral:rRNA from 1 species
AGAGUUUGAUCAUGGCUCAGAACGAACGCUGGCGGCAGGCCUAACACAUGCAAGUCGAGCGCUCACUUCGGUGGGAGCGGCGGACGGGUUAGUAACGCGUGGGAACGUACCCUUCGGUAAGGAAUAGCCACUGGAAACGGUGAGUAAUACCUUAUACGCCCUUCGGGGGAAAGAUUUAUCGCCGAGGGAUCGGCCCGCGUUAGAUUAGAUAGUUGGUGGGGUAAUGGCCUACCAAGUCUACGAUCUAUAGCUGGUUUUAGAGGAUGAUCAGCAACACUGGGACUGAGACACGGCCCAGACUCCUACGGGAGGCAGCAGUGGGGAAUCUUGGACAAUGGGCGCAAGCCUGAUCCAGCCAUGCCGCGUGAGUGAUGAAGGCCUUAGGGUCGUAAAGCUCUUUCGCCAGGGAUGAUAAUGACAGUACCUGGUAAAGAAACCCCGGCUAACUCCGUGCCAGCAGCCGCGGUAAUACGGAGGGGGUUAGCGUUGUUCGGAAUUACUGGGCGUAAAGCGCACGUAGGCGGAUUGGAAAGUUGGGGGUGAAAUCCCGGGGCUCAACCCCGGAACUGCCUCCAAAACUCCCAGUCUAGAGUUCGAGAGAGGUGAGUGGAAUUCCGAGUGUAGAGGUGAAAUUCGUAGAUAUUCGGAGGAACACCAGUGGCGAAGGCGGCUCACUGGCUCGAUACUGACGCUGAGGUGC